rnacentral:rRNA from 1 species
AUUGAACGCUGGCGGCAUGCCUAACACAUGCAAGUCGAACGGCAGCACAGUAAAGAUUUCGGUCUUGAUGGGUGGCGAGUGGCGGACGGGUGAGUAAUGCGUAGGAAUCUGUCCUGGAGAGUAGGAUAACCCGAGGAAACUCGGGCUAAUACUACAUGAUAUCGAGAGAUCAAAGGCAGGGGACCCUUCGGGGCCUUGCGCUCUAGGAUGAGCCUACGUCGGAUUAGCUAGUUGGUGGGGUAAAGGCCUACCAAGGCGACGAUCCGUAGCUGGUCUGAGAGGAUGACCAGCCACACUGGGACUGGGACACGGCCCAGACUCCUACGGGAGGCAGCAGUGGGGAAUCUUGGACAAUGGGGGAAACCCUGAUCCAGCGAUGCCGCGUGUGUGAAGAAGGCCUCUGGGUUGUAAAGCACUUUAGUUGGGGAAGGAAAGUAAUGAGUGAAUAACUGAUUGCUCUGACGGUACCCAAAGAAUAAGCACCGGCUAACUCUGUGCCAGCAGCCGCCGCGG